ensembl:lncRNA
CUUCCGGUCGGGGUAAGCUUGGCGGAGAUUGGUUCAUCCCAGAGGGCCUCAUUCACACGUCUGGCUGUUGGCACUAUGUCAGGUGAGGCAGGGCAUAACUUGGCCAUGUGUCCCUCAUCAUCCAGCAAGCUAGCCUGGGCUCAUUCACAUGGUGUGAUUGCAGAGUUUCCAAGAAAAACACACCAAUACUUUUCAAGUCUCUGCUUAUAUCACAUUUGCUAUUGUCCCAUUAACCAAAGCAAGGCACAUGGUUAAGCCAAGAGUCAGUGUGGGAGGGAAAUGCUCAAGGACAUGGAGAGAGGGAGGAAAUUAUAACAGUCCUUUUUGCAAAUAAUCUCCCACAACUAUUAAUGUAUUUCUAAUUAUGUGAAUUCAUCUUCUGAGUUGCUCAUGUUAGAAACCUCAAAGUUAUUUUCUGCCUCUUUUUUCUCUCAUAGAGUAAAAUGGGAAAUUAUUUAAUUAGCUAAGUAAAAAUGUAUUUUGUGGAAAAUCAUUUCCUCUCAGUACUUUAAUAAUCUAAAUAUUAAUAUAAACUUUGAUCACAGACCCAGUACUGUUUUGAUUAAUUAUACUCAGAAACUGGAAAAGAAAGAACAUAAUUGGCAGACUAAAAUAUGAAAUUUAUUCAAAUCCCUUAUAACAAAACAUGGCUUAAUAUACCAGUAAUACGUUUCAUUUUAUUUGUUUUCUUACAAAUAUGCAAAGAGGUAAUCACCAAUAAGUGGUAGUAUUUAAACACUUGGAAAAAAUAUUAAGCAAUACUCUUGUUGUAGCUAAUUGUGCAUAUGCAUCUUAUCUGAAGUUGGCAGCAAGUGAAAUUAAAUGGUUUUCCAAAUGACUGCAUUGCCAAUCCACCUUCUUUCAGCUAAUUGACUGAUUUUGGUCAUUGCUGCCUCCCAAGGGGGUCACUUGCACUGACGUGGAGUAUUGACAAUCCCGUAUGGCACUAAAGCUUGCUACAACCAUCGGUUGGUGCAACCCCACAGGGGGCCUUUUAGAAAGCACUGAAUAGGGAUCCUUUCCUGUUGAGAGAGAUGUGGAAUGGGAUACAGGCACGGCAUUGCAGAGAGGAAUGCUGUUGGACCCCACUCAAACAGCCUCAUAACAAGUCUGGGCCUUGGUUUAUUCAUCUGGAAAACAGGAGAUCGCCUUGAAAGUCUUCUCGCAAUCUGUGGCUCUCUGAGUCCACGUGAGCUCUGCCGGCGUAAUAGAAUCAGCACACUGUUAACCACAGAAAUGGAGGAAGGAGCCCUGAACACCCCAAUUCUGGUUAAAACAGGAGGCAAGAGCAAUCACAACCAGUGUCUAGUAACAUGUUUACCAUUCUGCAGACACAAAUCCAAAGUUCAAGCGACACAAGCAUAACAGCAGGGUCGGAAUCCAAAACUUCGCAUACACCAAAAGGCUACAGUCAUCUGUGACUGGUGUUGGUUCCAGAAUUGAGCCUUGAUUGUUUUUCAAAUGUUGGAAAAUGUCUGUGCAGCAUCUUGUGGUUGAAAUGCCUGCUCACCUGCUUUCUGAGGUCUGUCAGGUUGACAAGCUCAGGAGGGAGUCUCCGCCACUUUUUGAGCCCCAGAUCUCUGAGAAUCUGUAACAGUCCCAGGUGCAGUCAGUUGUCCAUGCAACGUGCAUAUGCACCUCACAUAUGCAAACAAUUAAGAAGGCUUCCUGGGUCUCAGGCGCCAGGGGAAACCUGCUUGUCCGGCCAACCCCUCACUCUCCUUCCUGUUUCUGACCUGCGUCAUAACACCACUCGUCGUCUCAACCCUAGUUGGCACCCACGCCAGUCAAGCCACUCGACUUGAAAGUAAACUCCUCAUCUCCAGACCAUCCUGCUCUCUACUUGGCUGGAAAUCAAAGGCCCAUCCAGAUAAGAAUCUCCGCAAUGUGCAUUUUCAGAGCAAGUCAGAAGCUGCUUUGUUUUAACACUCAAAGAAAGCUUUUGUAUUUUCGAUUUCGAGUGCUCUGCAGUAAAAUCAACAGUCUAUAUAGAUUAUACAAAAGGGUCAUAUGUUGGUUUGAGCCAGUUUCUGGGGGAAAAAAAUCACCAUUGAGGAACAGCAAGUGUUUAAACAAUGAACUGACAGCUGCCGGUCCAUUAGAUCCUCCAUGGGUGCAAUUCCUGCUCUUUGCAAUUUCACUGUGGUCUGUAGAUACCACCCUUCGUGGCUGAGCUGGUGGUGAUGGGCUGUGUUCCAAUAGCACCUGCACUUAGCGGAGGGAUGUCUUUCAUCAGAGGCCUCUCGCAUAAAGUCCAUCAUAAGAAAGAGAAACCGUGCCAGCUCCGAAAGGGAGAAGAAGAAAAUAUACAGCUAUUUCAAAGUCCGUAUUGGCCAUUUAAGUACUUGUAGAGUUAGAACUAAAAACUUGAAGCUCUUGAUUUACACUAUAUUCUCUUGGCCAUUCUAAGGAGUAUCAGGAUUCAUCUUUAGCUGAAGUUUAAUCCAAAUAGUCAAACCUCAGAGUUUGCUAAAUUAAGUGCUUUUUUUUUUUUUUUUGAGGAAGAUUAGCCCUGAGCUAACAUCUGCUGCCAAUCCUCCUCUUUUUGCUGAGGAAGCCUGGCCCUGAGCUAACAUCCGUGCCCAUCUGCCUCUACUUUCUGUGUGGGACGCCUGCCACAGCAUGGCAUGCCAAGCAGUGCCAUGUCUGCACCCGGGAUCUGAACCCACGAAUCCCAGGCCACCGAAGUGGAACAUGCGAACGUAACUGCUGCGCCACUAGGUUGGCACCAUUAAGUGCUAAUUUAAUGAUGACGUCUGCCUUUAAAAAUAUCUUUCUGGUGAUAGGCUUAAAGAAGAGACAUGAAAGAAUAUUUUCUUUAACUUCUGCUUCAGCAAGCUACAAUCCUCUUAAUUUUCUCUUUACUGGAGUCAGAUGUUCAUAAUUAGCCCUAUUUGAACAGCCCAAGGGUUGGUCCAGGGUUUCACAGGAGAGUAAAAAGUCUUAGGUGAAGACAAGCCUUUGAUUCUCUUUAUCAAGGUCUUUCCUCACCUUUGAUUUGAUUCUCUGCUGAAUCGCUCCUUUCCUUCAGUCCCUUAGAAUGCCUUCCUUUGGGAUCUCUGGUUUAGAUUUUCAGUGGAUGUUUAUACCUGUGUCUGGGCCCACCGCUUGCCCUGACCGCAUCUCAGAUCUGCCACAUCUUGAUUGCUUACCCCAUUACCUUCUUUCCCCUUGGAUCCUUAAUAACGGCACCUCUGCUUUCCUAGACAUAGCUUUCACCUGCAGCUAUCCGUGCCCCAGCUGAACCGAACUAGGUUUUAGCUCCACCAGUUUGAGCCGAGCAGUCACUUC